rnacentral:rRNA from 1 species
CAGUAGCCACGGGAAUACGGAGGGUGCAAGCGUUAAUCGGAAUUACUGGGCGUAAAGCGCACGCAGGCGGUCUGACAAGUUAGAUGUGAAAUCCCCGGGCUUAACCUGGGAACUGCAUUUGAAACUGUCAGGCUGGUGUCUUGUAGAGGGGGGUGGAAUUCCAGGUGUAGCGGUGAAAUGCGUAGAGAUCUGGAGGAAUACCGGUGGCGAAGGCGGCUCCCUGGACAAAGACUGACGCUCAGGUGCGAAAGCGUGGGGAGCAAACAGGAUUAGAUACCCCAGUAGUCCCUGUCUCUUAUAC